GUGGUAAUGCCGGAUGCUCCGGUUGGAUGCAUGUCCUUCCGGGAAAGGUUCCAUCGGUAUGGGAUGGGGUCGCGUCCUAUCAGCUUGAUGGCGGGGUAACGGCCCACCAUGGCUUCGACGGGUAGCCGGCCUGAGAGGGCGACCGGCCACAUUGGGACUGAGAUACGGCCCAGACUCCUACGGGAGGCAGCAGUGGGGAAUAUUGCACAAUGGGCGCAAGCCUGAUGCAGCGACGCCGCGUGCGGGAUGGAGGCCUUCGGGUUGUAAACCGCUUUUGAUCGGGAGCAAGCCCUUCGGGGUGAGUGUACCUUUCGAAUAAGCACCGGCUAACUACGUGCCAGCAGCCGCGGUAAUACGUAGGGUGCAAGCGUUAUCCGGAAUUAUUGGGCGUAAAGGGCUCGUAGGCGGUUCGUCGCGUCCGGUGUGAAAGCCCAUCGCUUAACGGUGGGUCUGCGCCGGGUACGGGCGGGCUGGAGUGCGGUAGGGGAGACUGGAAUUCCCGGUGUAACGGUGGAAUGUGUAGAUAUCGGAAAA
rnacentral:rRNA from 1 species